CGACCGGCGCACGGGUGCGUAACGCGUAUGCAACCUACCUUUAACAGGGGGAGUAACACUGAGAAAUUGGUACUAAUACCCCAUAAUAUCAUAGAAGGCAUCUUUUAUGGUUGAAAAUCCGAUGGUUAGAGAUGGGCAUGCGUUGUAUUAGCUAGUUGGUGGGGUAACGGCUCACCCAGGCGACGAUACAUAGGGGGACUGAGAGGUUAACCCCCCACACUGGUACUGAGACACGGCCCAG
rnacentral:rRNA from 1 species